CCUACGGGAGGCAGCAGUGAGGAAUAUUGGUCAAUGGGCGCGAGCCUGAACCAGCCAAGUAGCGUGAAGGAUGACUGCCCUACGGGUUGUAAACUUCUUUUAUAAAGGAAUAAAGUGCGGGACGUGUCCCGUUUUGUAUGUACCUUAUGAAUAAGGAUCGGCUAACUCCGUGCCAGCAGCCGCGGUAAUACGGAGGAUCCGAGCGUUAUCCGGAUUUAUUGGGUUUAAAGGGUGCUUAGGCGGCCUUUUAAGUCAGCGGUGAAAGUCUGUGGCUCAACCAUAGAAUUGCCGUUGAAACUGGGAGGCUUGAGUAUGUUUGAGGCAGGCGGAAUGCGUGGUGUAGCGGUGAAAUGCUUAGAUAUCACGCAGAACCCCGAUUGCGAAGGCAGCCUGCCAAGCCAUGACUGACGCUGAUGCACGAAAGCGUGGGGAUCAAACAGGAUUAGAUACCCUAGUAGUC
rnacentral:rRNA from 1 species